AUGAGAACCUCCAGCAUUUUGUAAGUAAUAGCCACUUAAAAAAUAUUUCCUGGAUGAGUGAAUGAAUGAGUGGUCAACUAACUUAUCUCCAGAAUCAGAUUUGGUGGCAGCACCAGGACCUGAACUGAACUUGCAGCAGCAUUCGAGGACAAGAGAGGAGCAGAGGCAUGGUGUCCACGAGCCCUUGGAAUUCACCAUCUUUCUUGCUGUUUUCGAGGUGUGUAGAUCCUGUCUCCACACACAGUCACAUUCUGACGUACUGAGUUAGGAUUUCAACAUAGGAAUUUCAGAGGACACAACUGAAGCCAUAACAGAUAUGGACUGGAGUAAAGAUCUAAAGAGAGGGAUUUUUCUGUCCUUUGAAGUAUUGGUAGAACCUGCUUCUAAGAGUGUCUGCGCUUCAAUAGCCAAACUGUGGAAAGAGCCAAGAUGUCCAUCGACAGAUGAAUGGAUAAAGAAGAUGUGGUAUAUAUACACAAUGGAAUAUUAUGCAGCCAUCAAAAGGAAUGAGAUCUUGCCAUUUGCAACGACGUGGAUGGAACUGGAGGGUAUUAUGUUGAGUGAAAUAAGUCAAACAGAGAAAGACAUGUAUCAUAUGAUCUCACUGAUAUGAGGAAUUCUUAAUCGCAGGAAACAAACUGAGUGUUGUUGGA